rnacentral:rRNA from 1 species
AGAGCGAACGCUGGCGGCAGGCUUAACACAUGCAAGUCGAGCGGGCGUAGCAAUACGUCAGCGGCAGACGGGUGAGUAACGCGUGGGAACAUACCUUUUGGUUCGGAACAACCCAGGGAAACUUGGGCUAAUACCGGAUAAGCCCUUACGGGGAAAGAUUUAUCGCCGAAAGAUUGGCCCGCGUCUGAUUAGCUAGUUGGUGAGGUAACGGCUCACCAAGGCGACGAUCAGUAGCUGGUCUGAGAGGAUGAUCAGCCACAUUGGGACUGAGACACGGCCCAAACUCCUACGGGAGGCAGCAGUGGGGAAUAUUGGACAAUGGGCGCAAGCCUGAUCCAGCCAUGCCGCGUGAGUGAUGAAGGCCCUAGGGUUGUAAAGCUCUUUUGUGCGGGAAGAUAAUGACGGUACCGCAAGAAUAAGCCCCGGCUAACUUCGUGCCAGCACCGC